GUGCCCUCAUUCUUCCAACAGAGGAAAUGACGCCACCCACAGAACGCGUGCUGGGUUUUCCCAUCCUGAUGGGAAUGCCACAGUGGCCGUCCUGGAAGUGGAAAGGCACAGAGCAGGGACAACCAGCCCUGGAUCUGGGUCAUCCCAGCUGCCGCUGGCUUGGGAACAAACCCAGCAGGCUCUAAACUCCACAGAACCGAUGUUUUGUAUGCAACUCAUUUGCACACAGCAAGCACCCCUCUGUGUGGCUGAGAUGGUGCCUGAUGGGAUGCACUGGAGUGACAGAGGCUUCAGAGGGGAGCGAGGACCUGGCAGGAUGCAGGGCUAAGAUGUAAAUGAGGAACCUCCUGUGGAAUCCGGGAUGCCUGAUGGAGUUUGGGGCUAUGAUUGAGCAAAGACUGAGGAGGUGUUUGGGAGCAGAAUUCUGGGAUCCAGCGUUGAUGGAGCCACGGUUGCGGUGGAUGACUGCAGGAGGUAUUCUGUUGAAGAACAGAGACCACACUGAUGGAUUGGAGUUGCCAGAGCAAAAUGAGAGAAAGAAGGAAGGAUCUGUAGUCAGGUCUGUUACCCUCCGGGCACAAUCUGCAAGUUCCCAGAGAAUGCGUUCUGGGGUUGAGCCAUUUUACAAUCCCAUCCAAAGGUCAUCUUCACACUUUCAUAAAAUAAAGCUGCAUUGCAGAAAUAA